UGAAUACGAGAUGCUACGGCGUCGAAGCAGUGUAUGUCAGACUUCCAAGAAAAGCUCGCAAUGUCAUAAAUAAAGAAUGCCUGUACCAUAACCGACACAGGUGGGUAGGUAGAGUAUACUAAGGGGCGCGAGAUAACUCUCUCUAAGGAACUCGGCAAAAUAACUCAGUAACUUCGGGAGAAGGAGUGCCUUCUUUAAGAAGGUUGCAAUAACAAGAUCCAAGCAACUGUUUAUCAAAAACACAGGUCUCCGCUAAGUCGUAAGACGAUGUAUGGGGGCUGACGCCUGCCCAGUGCCAGAAGGUUAAAGAAGUUGGUUAGCUUUUGCGAAGCUGAUGACUGAAGCCCUGGUGAACGGCGGCCGUAACUAUAACGGUCCUAAGGUAGCGAAAUUCCUUGUCGGGUAAGUUCCGACCCGCACGAAAGGCGUAAUGAUUUGGAUACUGUCUCGGAGAGGGACUCGGUGAAAUAGACUUGUCUGUGAAGAUGCGGACUACCUGCACCAGGACAGAAAGACCCUAUGAAGCUUUACUGUAACUUGAAAUUGAAAUUGGACUUUAUUUGCGCAGUAUAGGUGGAAGGCGUUGAAAGUAAUCUUGCGGGAUUAGUGGAGCCAUCAGUGAGAUACCACUCCUAUAAUGUUAGAUUUCUAACUUUGGAUCAUGAUCUGGUCAAAGAACAGUUUCAGGCGGGCAGUUUGACUGGGGCGGUCGCCUCCCAAAUGGUAACGGAGGCGUACAAAGGUUUCCUCUGAACGGGUAGAAAUCGUAUCUAGAGUGUAAAGGCAUAAGGAAGCUUGACUGUGAGACCUACAAGUCGAGCAGGGACGAAAGUCGGUCUUAGUGAUCUGACGGUGCUGAGUGGAAAGGCCGUCACUCAACGGAUAAAAGUUACUCUAAGGAUAACAGGCUGAUCUCCCCCAAGAGUUCACAUCGACGGGGAGGUUUGGCACCUCGAUGUCGGCUCAUCGCAUCCUGGGGCGGUAGUACGUCCCAAGGGUUGGGCUGUUCGCCCAUGAAAGCGGUACGCGAGCUGGGUUCAGAACGUCGUGAGACAGUUCGGUCCAUAUCCGGUGUAGGCGUUAGAAUAUUGAGAGGAGCCUUCUUUAGUACGAGAGGACCGAGAAGGACAUACCUCUGGUGUACCAGUUAUCGUGCCAACGGUAAACGCUGGGUAGCUAUGUAUGGAGAGGAUAACCGCUGAAAGCAUCUAAGUGGGAAGCCACCUCAAGAUGAGUAUUCUCUUCACGUAAGUGAGUAAGGUCACGGUAAGACUAACCGUUUGAUAGGCAUUAAGUAUAACUAUAGUAACAUAUGAGCUGAGAUGUCCUAACAGACCGAGGAC
rnacentral:rRNA from 1 species